rnacentral:rRNA from 1 species
CGCUUUCAGCAGGGAAGAGUCAAGACUGUACCUGCAGAAGAAGCCCCGGCUAACUACGUGCCAGCAGCCGCGGUAAUACGUAGGGGGCGAGCGUUAUCCGGAUUCAUUGGGCGUAAAGCGCGCGUAGGCGGCCCGGCAGGCCGGGGGUCGAAGCGGGGGGCUCAACCCCCCGAAGCCCCCGGAACCUCCGCGGCUUGGGUCCGGUAGGGGAGGGUGGAACACCCGGUGUAGCGGUGGAAUGCGCAGAUAUCGGGUGGAACACCGGUGGCGAAGGCGGCCCUCUGGGCCGAGACCGACGCUGAGGCGCGAAAGCUGGGGGAGCGAAAAGGAUUAGAUACCCUGGUAGUCCCAGCCCGUAAACGAUGGACGCUAGGUGUGGGGGGACGAUCCCCCCGUGCCGCAGCCAACGCAUUAAGCGUCCCGCCUGGGGAGUACGGCCGCAAGGCUAAAACUCAAAGGAAUUGACGGGGGCCCGCACAAGCAGCGGAGCAUGUGGCUUAAUUCGAAGCAACGCGAAGAACCUUACCAGGGCUUGACAUAUGGGUGAAGCGGGGGAGACCCCGUGGCCGAGAGGAGCCCAUACAGGUGGUGCAUGGCUGUCGUCAGCUCGUGUCGUGAGAUGUUGGGUUAAGUCCCGCAACGAGCGCAACCCCCGCCGCGUGUUGCCAUCGGGUGAUGCCGGGAACCCACGCGGGACCGCCGCCGUCAAGGCGGAGGAGGGCGGGGACGACGUCAAGUCAUCAUGCCCCUUAUGCCCUGGGCUGCACACGUGCUACAAUGGCCGGUACAGAGGGAUGCCACCCCGCGAGGGGGAGCGGAUCCCGGAAAGCCGGCCCCAGUUCGGAUUGGGGGCUGCAACCCGCCCCCAUGAAGUCGGAGUUGCUAGUAAUCGCGGAUCAGCAUGCCGCGGUGAAUGCGUUCCCGGGCCUUGUACA